AACACGGACCAAGGAGUCUAACAUGUGCGCGAGUCAUUGGGUCAAUUAAAGCCUAAAGGCGCAAUGAAAGUAAAGGUCGUCCUUUGCGUCGACCGAGGGAGGAUGGCUCGCGUCACGAUGCGAGCCCGCACUCCCGGGGCAUCUCGUGUUCAUUGCGAACAGAGGUGCACCCAGAGCGCACACGUUGGGACCCGAAAGAUGGUGAACUAUGCCUGGUCAGGACGAAGUCAGGGGAAACCCUGAUGGAGGUCCGUAGCGAUUCUGACGUGCAAAUCGAUCGUCGGAACUGGGUAUAGGGGCGAAAGACUAAUCGAACCAUCUAGUAGCUGGUUCCUUCCGA
rnacentral:rRNA from 1 species